GGUUUUGGAUGGAACUAACCCCCAGACGUCAUGAACUUCUCAGCACAUAUCUUCUCGGAAUUGGAACUCUCUUUUUAUACACCGGAUACUCACUUCAACAGUUUAUCGGAGAAUCUGUCAUCCACUCAAUUCAUGAAAAGUCACCGGACACCAUUUCCGCUUAUGCUGGAUACUAUGGGUUAGUUUUAGUAUUAAAAUAAUUAAACAUGAGUUUUUUUUCUUUUCAGAGCAGCCUUUCACUUAUCAGCAUUUGCAGUAUUUUCUCUCAUCACUCCUUCCCUUCAACACUUUGUCCCAAGUAAAUGGUUCCUGACACUGGCUUCUGCACUUUUUGCAGUUUAUUAUCUUGGAUUUUUUCAAUUGAAUAAGUACUACUUCUACUUGACACAAGCUCUUAUGGGAGUUGGAUAUUCAUGUAAGCCACUUUUUGAAUAGGAUAAAUAUAAUUGUGACGUGUCUAGAAUCUGAUAAAUUUACAGUUUAUAACAAUGGAGAAGGACAAUAUCUGUCCGAACAUUCUUCUCGAAGAACGAUUGAAUCAAAUACUGGAAUUGAGACUGCAGUUGGGCAUGCAAGCAUGUUUUUCGGAGGAAUUGCACUUAUCGUUCUAUGCUUUUUGUUACACACAGAUGGUGGUACUGGAAUUGAGUACUCGGAUUUGCAGAUUAGGUAUGCCUUCUGAAAUUUAACAUUUUGAUUUUUUUGUUAGAAGUUGUUAGAAAAUUCCACUAGGGUGCGCUCCGCCACACAGAUGCCUGAAGGGCGAGUGAGAGGCAUAAAGUGAAUGGUUAUAUUCUAGUUAAAACUCGGAAUUUCAGAUUUAUCUACGGAACCAUGUUCAUUUUGAAUAUCUUCUCUGUCAUUGUGUUUGCAUUUCUACCAACAAAACAAUAUGACUCAAUUGCUUCCAAAUCUUCAACUGUUGUACCAUCUUUUGCUAAUCAAAUUAGUGAGUUUUUAAUAUUAAAAAUAAUAGAAAAUCAUUUUGAAAAUUUACAGAGCAACUUCUCAAAGCAUUUCAAUCAACAAAUUUGCUGAUCUUAAUGCCAUUCUUCUUUUUCCAAGGAUUUGCAGUUUCAUUCUUAAUGACUGUAUAUCCAACAACACUUUCAUUUACUCAUGCAUUCAAAACUGAUAUUUAUAUUAUUGGAAUUUAUUCGGUUUCAAUGGGGUUGGCUGAAGCAAUUGGUAAGUUCAGACUUACCUACUCGUGUGAAUUUAUUAAUUCAAAUACUUUGGAUUCAACGUGAAAAUCAAAUCAGUAUAAUUUAACUAAAUUAAUAUAAUUUUAAAAAUUCGAAAAAUUCGCUUAAAAAUUUUUACCAAGUUAUUGGAUUUGUCGCCAAUUUCUUAUCUAAAUUUUCUAGACAAAGAAACACAUACAGUAGUAAAUUUGUUCAGCAGUAUCUUUUAAUUCACUUCUAUACUUAUCACAUUAACCUUAACUCUACUUUGAAAGAAAUUCACUGCAAAAUCCAAACAAUGUUUUCCAUUAAAAAUCUUCUUGCUUUCCACUUGGUUUGCACAUGAUUUUUUUGCAAAAAACGAUACAGUAUGCACUCGUUUACAAAAAUUCGUGUUCGUUGGUCGAUCGGUAUCUUUCGAUGUUUUUGAGCGUAUCAUAUUAGUUUUGAAAUAUGAUUUGGUCAAUGAAAGAAGGUCUACAUAAAUUUAAAAUAUAAGCAAGUUAUCUUGAAUAGUUGUAAAAAAUCUGCCCCUCAAGUUUCAAACUUCUCAUAUAUAUGUUCCAAGCUCCAUGUAAAGCUGUUGAACAUUUUAACUUUUAUAGUAUUUCUCAAUCAUAAUUCAGACCACUUCAAACAUUUUUUCAGGUUAAAAGAGUAAUUCUUUAAAUCGUUAUUUCAGGUGGUAUCUUCUUGCGCCCAUUGCUCAAAAGAGCCGGUGAUUAUGGUCUCUAUGUGACCGCUGGAUUCAAUUUUCUCUCAUACUCAGUUGUUAUCAUUUUGGCUUUUCUUUCAAUUCCAAAUCUUUCAACCUUUGGUCCAACCAGUUCACCACCAAUAUUUCUCACUCCAAGGUAAGGGUUAUCUCAUUUUAAAAUCAAAACAAUGUCCUAAUUUGAUUGAUAACCGUAGAGAAUCAUCGGUGAAUUGAUAAAUUGCAAUGACAUUUUGAUAAUGUUUCAUGGAGGUUUUUUAUCACUUCAUAACUUGAUUGAUAACCAAAGCUACCCAAAGAUUUAAGUUUCAUAAAAGAAUCCAGGGGGAAAUCACAUGAUUGUACUACAAGGUGGUAUUCUUUGUAUUUUGAAUAAUCUACAGUACUUUAAUAAAAUCGUAACUGAUCUGAUAAAAGAUUGUGAUAAGUGCCAAAGUGUAUUUUUUGGAAACAAUGACAAAUUGGAAAUUUGAAACAUUUUUUUCAAAAGUUCAAAUGACAAAAAGAAAAUUGAGGGACCGUACAGCCUGGCUGCCAACUGUAUCUAUUUUCAGUCGUCUUCUCGUCUUCAUCAUUGGAUUUUUGAUCGGAUUCUCUGAUUUCUGUGUGACAAUGGCUCGUGCUGUCAUUUGCCAAGUCGCUGUUCCAGAUUGUCGUAUGCAGGUCUUCUCUCUGUCAAAACUUUAUCAG
rnacentral:sRNA from 1 species